GAGUGGGGAGGAGAGAGGGACAGAGAGCCUGCUUCUUUAAAGGAGCAAAGCGGGAGAGGAGAGGAGCCGCUUACACGAGUUGUCUGGUUGUCUCCUUUAAAGCAAGCAGGCUCUCUGUCCCUCUCUUCUCCUCACUCA